UUCGGAUUGUAGUCUGCAACCCGACUACAUGAAGCUGGAAUCGCUAGUAAUCGCGGAUCAGAAUGCCGCGGUGAAUACGUUCCCGGGUCUUGUACACACCGCCCGUCACACCAUGGGAGUCGGAAAUGCCCGAAGUCUGUGACCCAACCGAAAGGAGGGAGCAGCCGAAGGCAGGUCGGAUGACUGGGGUGAAGUCGUAACAAGGUACC
rnacentral:rRNA from 1 species